AGAGAGAGAGAGAGAGAUAUAUAUUAUAGAAAUAGAGAUUAGGAGAGGGAUAGUAUAGAGAGUAAUAAUAAUAUAUGGAUAGAUUAGUUAAUGUUAAUAGAAAAUAAUAAGUGGGAGAGCGCAAAGAGAGAGAGAGAGUGUAAUAAUAAUGGUUAGAUAUAUUAGUAUUAAAUUUGAAAUUUAAUCUUUUAAAAGUUCAAAAUAUAGAGAGAAAGAAGAAGAGAGAGAGAG
rnacentral:misc_RNA from 1 species